AAUAGAGUGCUCCCCUUUAUUUCCACAAACGGAGUGUGGUGAGCGUGCUAGGAGCACCUCCCUCGGACACUGAAGGGGCAGAGCGUGGGCCCAUCCAGCCAGGGCUGGUUUGCAGGCAUGUAGCUGGCAUGCUUUGCCCAGCUACCUGCAAGUCUGAGAAUUACUUUUUCCAGAUACCUUACAGGAGGUUGGAGACAUGGCCUCCUGUCCCCAUCUGCCAUCUUGCCUGGAGUUGGGGAUAAACAAGCUUCUCCAUCAGGCUCAGAUGAAUAUCUUUGGAAGUUGUUCCAGACACUGGCCAUCUGGUUCCAAAAUAAAUGUUCGCUUCCCAGAUUGCAUUUCCCAUUCUCACUUGCAGAUGGCAUCUGGAGAUUGAUUCCUGAACCUGAUUCUUGGCUCUGAAUCAAGCUCUUCUGACCUGGUAAGAUGUGGUUCCUUCCAAGUAAUGGCCUAGGCAGAAAGUAACAUGUGGUAGGAAAGAGCAUGGGCCUCACCAGGCUUGAAGUGAGUUCCCGCCUCCAUAGGCAAGUUACUCAGCCUCUCUGUGCCCAUUUCUUUAUGUGUGAAUUGUGAUUGUAUAGCAUCCAUGUUGUGAGACUCAUGGCAUAAUGGAACACAAGGAUAAUAUUUGUGAACUACUUGGACAGUGCUUGCACACACAUUAUUUUUCCUAUACUUAGCUUAGUAGUCAGUGGAGAUAAGUGGACCCCGUCCCUGUGAUCAACAGCACUGUUUUAGUUUCUGCAUGGAAGGGGCAGGUGACAGUGGUCUGAAGAUGUAUUUGGAACCUGGCCUAUGAGGAGAAUGGUCACCUGGUUUGGGGGGUUGCUCACCCGGAGCCUUUGCAGUCUCAGAGGACCACAAGUCGGCACGGCCUUCUGAGAAGACUUCUGAUGCUCUGUCCAGAUGGCCCUCCAUCAGAUGGGAGCUUCAGUCCUCAAUUAGAGCAUCCCUCCAAAGGCAAAGUGACCCCUGAGCAAGAGUGAGUAGCCCUAUGUUGACUGUUGGGCCUCCAAAGGCUGUUUCUGGAGGGGACCUGGGGCAGAACCCAGAAGAUUUUGGGCUGCAUUGAUUGCCUAGGGGGGAGGAAAUGUGGCAUUCACUCGGCCUUUGGAGGCAGACACCACUGACUAUGCACAAGACGUCAGGCAGCUGCCCCUGCCCUCCCAGGGGCUCUUGCUUAACCACUUCUGAAAGCCUCGAACCCUCUCUUCCUCAUCUAUACCACGGGACUGUCGCUGGUACUUACCGCCUGUGAUAGUUGUGAGGCCUGGCUGGGAUCAUAAUGUCCACAGAGAUGCUUUAUGUCAUGGAAACAUGCAGUAUAUUUCUGAAAACAUUUUUCCCCCCAAAUAUAGAAUAGAUACAGGACUUAAAAGGUUCUAGUGGUAAAAAAGGCUAUGCACUGAAAAGUCACUCUCCCUCCUACUCUUGACCCUGACUCCCAUGGGGUGUGUCCAGAGGAAACCACGGUUAUCAGUGUCUUGUGUGAACUGCCGAAGAUAUUCUACAUACAUAUCAGCAUGGACAUUUUUAAUGCAUAUGUAUGACAUAUACACACAAAUGCUUUAAUUUUCAAAAGUGGAAAUGUCGUAUGGUUCGACCUAAAUAUAUGUGUGUGUAUAAACAAUGAAGCAUACUGUUCUAUAUUUCAUUUAUUUUAAUUUAAUAAUAUUUUGGGGAAACCAUUCUCUGUCAAGUCUUGCAGAUAUACCUCAUUCUUUUUAAUAGUCAUGUAGUAAUCCCAGCCUGCAGAUAGACCCUAAUUAUACAUUAAUUAAUUUAACUAGCCACUUCUUGAUGACUAGUGCUUGGUCUUUUGUACCAUUUAUGGAGAAGAAAGGGAAAGCCUGCCCCUCAGCAUUCUGCAUCCCCCAGGCCCCCAGGCCCCCAGGCCAGCCUCCCAGCCUCCAGCACCUGUCCUGCCCUUUCUGUUGGGGAACUCCCUGGAGUGUGCAUUUUUCCCUCUGCAACUGUGCUAGACCAAGUUUUGGGCUCCUGCUCUCAACCUAAACCUGCCUUAGAUCUCUUCAUAACUCCGCUUGCAAGUGGAGGCCCCUUAAUUUGGCCCACAGGACUCUUUAACACUUUUUAAACCCUGUUAAACCCAUGUAAUGAGUUUCCCCUUGCUGUGCUCCUGGCCCUGAAAGCUGAGAGCAGGGGCCCAGCCCUCCCACCUGUUCAGAGAUUAAGCUGUGAUGGAGAGGCAGAGGGGCUGUAUGGAAGGGGUGGGUCAGUGGGAGCUCUGGGGUCAGCCAUGCAAGCAGGACUGCUGGCAGGAGUGGGGUGUGGGUGCCCCUCAGUGUCAGGCAGGAGUUCUUCGCAGAGCGUCAGGGCCCUGCUGCCUAUUGCGGUGUCAGCAACUAGUCCUCUCUUUGGGUGUGGAGACCACUCUGCUGGGGUCAGGGGAGUGGGCAAAGCUGGCAGCAGCUUGGCUUGCCAAGGUGACAGUUACAUGCCCCAGGUGGCACAGGUCUAGCUCAAUGAGACUUCCUAAAAUGCAGUCUUCAGCAUGUCAGCACCUGCUAGAGAAUCUUCUUUCCACAGCUGCCCCUUGUAAAAGGGAUGACUGCUGGUUUAAUGUUUCUUUCUGGAAAGAUCUACCUUUCUUUCUGUCACACAAAGUCCACUUGGGUCAAAGUGGCUGACUCAUAUACUUCUUAUUCCCAGGUCUGUGCAUGUGACCCAGGACUAGCCAAUCAGAGUAUUCAAGGCCACUAUCCAUAGUGAUUGGUUCAGGAGUAGCCCUGUUGAGCCCCAGUGACUGGUCAAGGGGUGGGCAUGUGACCAGGUCUGGCAAAUUAGAAUAUUUAACCCCUUGGCCACAGUAGCUGUUUAGAAAUGGAUGCAUGAGCCAAUGGUGGGCCACUGAGAAUCUAUCCCAAACCCUCUAUGGGAACAAUUAGAUAAGAGGUGCACUCUUCCCUUGGAGGUUACUGGGGCAGACCAUGACAGCUUGGAAUUCUGUAGGUCAAACUGUCACUGUGAAUGAAAAGCCAGUUGGAGAUGGCUAAGAUAGGAAAAGAGGUCUAAGAGGGAGAGCUUUUGGAUCCAGCCAUACCUGAAGACUUCACAUUACACAAAUGAACUCUUUUUUACUCAAGUCAGCUUGAGUUGACUUUGCAAGUUUCUUUCAACUCAGGGUCCUAACUAAAACUUAUCUCUACCACAGAUAUCAUAUGCCACAGUAUGACCCUCUGGGUGGCCUUAGCCUACCUUUCCUUGCUCUUCUCUGGCCAACGUUCCUUCACCAAACCCUAGAAUUUAUCUUUGAUACAUCCUCCUUCGACUUCAUUGCUCAGUCCUUUUUCUCUAUGUGGUAAACCAUUUUCCUUUCCCUUUUAACGUGUCAUUGUCAGCUAACAUCUGACUCUGUACACAGGGUACCUAGUUCCAGGAAGGCGCAGUGCUCCUGUUAACACAUAGCUUUCCACUUCUGAGGAGCUUGUAAUCAAGUUGUAGGUUGCUUAGCACAAAGUGGGUGCUCAGUAAAGAACAAAUAAGUGAACUGAAUGAAUGAAUCUUUGAGUGAGUGAAUGAAAGAGAAGGCAGGGCUCAUACUAGUGAUGUUUAUGUCAAUUUAAGGCAGCAUUAGCUAGCUGCCAAAUGGGCAUGGACACCCCACAUUCUCACAGGAAUCAGAAAUAUGUGCAACAGGCGCAAGGAAAGUUUGGGAGGACGCUGUGGAUUUAAUGCCAGGUGGAAGCUUUACAUGCUUUUUUUUUAUGGCAAUAGAGAGCUACUGAAUUUGUAGAACAGGUGUGUUGCAUGUAACGCUGUGCCUCAGAGAUGCUAAACAGGCAAUGGCAUGAGGACUGAACUGGACAAGAAAUGACCAGUAGCAGUUGAACUAAUGAGGAGGAUAUUUGAAAUACAUCCUCCAUGGGGUGAUGUGAACCUGGCACAUGGAGUUGUGGGUGAUAGGAUGGCUUUGGGAAGAUUCCUGGGCUUCACUCUUGGAAAGUCUUUUUUAGCAGGUGUGCAAUGGGGUAUGAUCUGCCUAAAACAUUUUUAAAACAGCACCAGGUGAUUCUGAGGGGCAGUCUGCACAGUUGGGUUGCAGGGUUUGAUCCCUGGGUACUGGGAGGUUGAUGGCAGAAACAGGGAUGUGAGGAAGAGCUACUGGUUUGGAAAGAAAAAGACAAGCCCUUCCCUUUUUAGAAACUGUGACAUUUAAGGGACUAGCAGGAUGUCCAUGUGUAGCCCUCAGCAUACUGAUAAUGACAGACUGAAAGUCAAGACUACUGGAAAAAUAAUUUGGGAAGCUGUCCUUGUAGAGUUGGUGAACAAAUCCAAAUUAGUUGCCAAUAGAUUAAAACAGGGAAAUGUCACAUAAAAUGGUGAAUUUCUGUAUUCUCAUAGGAAAAUGAGAACAUUUGCCAUCUUGGACCCACACCCUAGAUUGGGGCUGAGAGGUGGCUGCUUCUGUUUGCAAGUGCUUUCAGUUUGUCAGUCUCUGCCCUUCCCUAAUGCCUCACACUCAAGCCACUUGGUCUGUUUAUCCUCCUGCCUAGUGCUACAGGCACUUGUAUUAGUGAACCUCAGUGUUGCCACAUGUAGGAAUAAGCAUGUGAAUGAGGAGGCAGAAAAGGAGACAAUAAAAUGUUGUCCCCAGAGGUGGGAUAUGAGUGUCCUGGAUGCCUUGGAAAAAAGAACAUAAAAUAUUGAGCGAGCAGCUCUGACCCAUAAGUUGCUGAACUUCAUUGGUCUUGAUUUCUUAUUUCUAAAAAGGAGUUAAUAAUAUUGGUUAAAUGGGCUAUUAGGUGCUUCAAAGUCUUAAUGCCUGUGAGAUUAGUUAAUGGCCUAAAAGGGGCCACAGAGCAGUAAGUUACUGAUGUGAGGGGGAAGGGGAGGACCCUACCAAAGGAGGGGCCUGAAUCCUUCUGCAACUUACCAGUACACUGUGUGUCACUGAACCCGAUAGUUGAUGUCUCUGAGACUAAAUGUUCUCAAUUGUAAACUGGGACAAUGAUGCCCAUGCACUAGGGCUGCUGGGAAGAUAAAAUGAGACUCAGUAGGUUUCAUCCUAAGUGGGAGUUAGGUUCUAAAAACCAACUUAAAGGCAAAAAUUGUGUACAUUUAAAAUAAACAUGGCAAAUCCUUCUAAAUAAUCCUAGGCAGUCAGCUAUGAAUAUAGAUGAAAAUGUGUACAAUGAUGCUUACUAUAUAAAGAGUGUGUAUAACAAAUAUGAUUUUACAGAAUGCUAAAUGUUUUAAAAUAAAGCUCUUUUGACUAAGCUCACAUUGAAGAAUUCAUGCAUGUGUACUUGUGGACCACCUAUAUAGGUAAAAAAAACACUUGAAAACUCCUUGUCAGGCUUUCAAAAUCCUGACUGAACACAUUGUAUGCUGCCACCAGGUGAUGGUUUUAAGAGGCCA